rnacentral:rRNA from 1 species
UACGGGGGGGGCAAGCGUUGUUCGGAAUUACUGGGCGUAAAGGGCUCGUAGGUGGCCAACUAAGUCAGACGUGAAAUCCCUCGGCUUAACCGGGGAACUGCGUCUGAUACUGGAUGGCUUGAGUUUGGGAGAGGGAUGCGGAAUUCCAGGUGUAGCGGUGAAAUGCGUAGAUAUCUGGAGGAACACCGGUGGCGAAGGCGGCAUCCUGGACCGACACUGAUGCUGAGGAGCGAAAGCCAGGGGAGCAAACGGG